CUACCGUGMCCGUGUCAUUCACUCCCGUGACGUGCCCCGAAAACCUCUGAGAAAUUUCUGUGCUGUACAAAGUGCAUUGCAACAACCAAGAAUAUGUUUAUUUAAACUCUGUUGUGGAAAGUUAUUGAGUUACUUACUCAAUGACUAUUUCUGAGGGCUGAUUCACACCUGUAUGAUAAACCAGCCGCUGUUGGCUCAGGAAAAAUCAUACCUGAACGGCAAAGUAAUCUACAAGGAGGAGAAUCAGUUCCACCCGCAGYGUUUGCUCAGCUGAGUUCCUUGGCUAAUUUUGGUGCUGAUGUUCUGCUUCUGUUACCAGAAAGGCCAGCGCUGCCUCCGUGCCGGCCCAUGGCACACACGGGAUGCGGGAGCAGUGAUGUCAGAGCCAGCUGGAAGGAGCUGCAGCUUUCCCGGCCCUCCUGCAGCCCCAAGGGAUGGGAAAGUUGCCUAAUAGGUCCCUGCUGAAGAAGCUGAAGACAUCACUGAUAGAUUGUUGAUUUAGUGUCUUUCAACUUUCUGUAUCUUCAUCUCACAGUGCAGAACAAUUCCGGUUCCUAGAUCUGGUCAGGUUUAUAUGAAAUUCCACUGCACAAAGGGUGGGAUUCACCACAGAGCCGAGUAGCAGUGUCUGAGGAGCAUCUGAGCCACUGUCCAGAACUCUGUGUACAGUCAACAGUAUCCAGGGCAAGACCCACCUAUCUCUGAAGUAGAUGCUUCAAACAGAAGCACCAAAUUCUUUCCUUUGGCUAUAAAAAGAACCUGGAUAGGGCAACUCAGGCACAUGCACCUUAGUA
rnacentral:lncRNA from 1 species